rnacentral:rRNA from 1 species
GACGAACGCUGGCGGUGUGCUUAACACAUGCAAGUCGAACGGAAAGGCCCUGCUUUUGUGGGGUGCUCGAGUGGCGAACGGGUGAGUAACACGUGAGUAACCUGCCCUUGACUUUGGGAUAACUUCAGGAAACUGGGGCUAAUACCGGAUAGGAGCUCCUGCUGCAUGGUGGGGGUUGGAAAGUUUCGGCGGUUGGGGAUGGACUCGCGGCUUAUCAGCUUGUUGGUGGGGUAGUGGCUUACCAAGGCUUUGACGGGUAGCCGGCCUGAGAGGGUGACCGGCCACAUUGGGACUGAGAUACGGCCCAGACUCCUACGGGAGGCAGCAGUGGGGAAUAUUGCACAAUGGGCGGAAGCCUGAUGCAGCAACGCCGCGUGCGGGAUGACGGCCUUCGGGUUGUAACCCGCUUUCGCCUGUGACGAAGCGUGAGUGACGGUAAUGGGUAAAGAAGCACCGGCUAACUACGUG